rnacentral:rRNA from 1 species
CAGCCGCCACGGGAAUACGUAGGUGGCAAGCGUUGUCCGGAAUUAUUGGGCGUAAAGGGCUCGCAGGUGGUUUCUUAAGUCUGAUGUGAAAGCCCCCGGCUCAACCGGGGAGGGUCAUUGGAAACUGGGAAACUUGAGUGCAGAAGAGGAGAGUGGAAUUUCACGUGUAGCGGUGAAAUGCGUAGAGAUGUGGAGGAACACCAGUGGCGAAGGCGACUCUCUGGUCUGUAACUGACGCUGAGGAGCGAAAGCGUGGGGAGCGAACAGGAUUAGAUACCCCCGUAGUCCCUGUCUCUUAUAC